rnacentral:rRNA from 1 species
UGGCGAACGGGUGAGUAAUAUAUCGGAACGUGCCCUGGAGUGGGGGAUAACGCAGCGAAAGUUGCGCUAAUACCGCAUACGAUCUAAGGAUGAAAGCAGGGGACCGCAAGGCCUUGUGCUCCUGGAGCGGCCGAUAUCUGAUUAGCUAGUUGGUGGGGUAAAGGCCUACCAAGGCAUCGAUCAGUAGCUGGUCUGAGAGGACGACCAGCCACACUGGAACUGAGACACGGUCCAGACUCCUACGGGAGGCAGCAGUGGGGAAUUUUGGACAAUGGGCGCAAGCCUGAUCCAGCAAUGCCGCGUGAGUGAAGAAGGCCUUCGGGUUGUAAAGCUCUUUUGUCAGGGAAGAAACGGUGAGUUCUAAUACAGUUCACUAAUGACGGUACCUGAAGAAUAAGCACCGGCUAACUACGUGCCAGCAGCCGCGGUAAUACGUAGGGUGCAAGCGUUAAUCGGAAUUACUGGGCGUAAAGCGUGCGCAGGCGGUUUUGUAAGUUUGUCGUGAAAUCCCCGGGCUCAACCUGGGAAUGGCGAUGAAGAC